rnacentral:lncRNA from 1 species
GUCAGAGAGAGGUGCUGGCUGACCCCUUGAGUCCUUAACUGCGACUCAAAACAAGCCUAGGAGGAGCAGUGGGCACGGGCUCCAAAGUUAGCAAAGUGCCCCUGAAAGCAGCUUUCAGAGUGGGCUCCCGGUGUUCCAGAGACCUAGGGUGAGGUGGGACAAAGGAAAAACUCCCGGGGAACUCCUGCUUCAGCUUGCAGAGCCCUGGCGCCAGGCGCUUCCGCCGCUCCUCAGCACUCGCAUUUAUUGAGGUGCCUGCACAGGCACGUGAUGCCAGAGCCCUCCUUGACCUCCCCCCACCUCCACCUCCACCCAGUUCUGGCCCGAGGCCUGUGGGAGUCGACUUGCAGCAAGCCAGGAGCUUUCGUGGGCGUGCACUGUGCCUUUGUGAGUGGAGGCUGGCAAGGUCUGGACCCUGGGGCAAGAGAGCCCUUAACUUCUCCCACCUCUCUCAGAUCAGACACCCUCCCCCUCUCUGAUGGGAUGCUGAAAUUACUUACAGUCUGGUUGCAAAGCCCCAGAACUUGAGUAUGAUGAGCUCUAUGGGCUGCAUGGGACUGUAGCAGCUUAAUCUAUCUGUGCAUUCUGGGUUACCAUUAUGGAGCAACUCAAUACUUACGUUACCUUAACUAGGCACCCCAUCUGCUGCAGAGGAAAGGAGAGUCCAGUGUGAAAUCCUCUCAUUUAGGCCACGAGGAAGAAGGAACUGGAAGUUCAAAUGGGGACAGCUUCAAAGGGCUCUACUCCAAGUACACAAAUGCUCAUUUAAUUUCUUCAGGAAAAAAAAAUUAAAGUGGCGUGGAUAACUCAUCAAGAAAGGCUCUGAGAGUCAUUGAAAAGUGACUCUAACUUCAUUAGGGACUCACGGGAGGUGCCCUGUCACUGGGGAUAGCCUCAAGUUAGUAUUGAAACUACAGAUGAUCUCAUCUUCAUUUUGCUUUCUCACUAUGAGAUGAGUAGGUUUUCUUUUUUUCUAAACCAUGGAUAGAAACCUUCAAUAUGUAAGCCCAAAUAAGCAUUUUUUUCUUAAUGAAUUAACAAUCUCAAUUUUGUAACAUAUAGCUUAAUAUUUAAAAGAUGUAUUAUUUUAUUUCUCAUCAGUAUUAUAAGGAAAAUGUCAGGUUAAUUAUUAAUUAUUAAAUAGCCAAAUAAAAAUUAUUGUGAGACAUUAAUCAUCAAUAAAAACAAUCAUAAAUAGCAUUCACUUAUAGUCCUUUUACCAAACUAUCCUGUAUCCUCUCCAUUCCUCAGAAUGAGCCAAUAAUCAACAAAUCUUGAAAAUGUUCCUAAUCACACUGUUGAAGUAUAAAUCAACUAGUAUUACAUGUGAUUUGAAUAUCAGAGAACUGAUGUCACCAUGACAGGACAAAUCUGAAUUUAAAAGAAUUAAUUUACUCAGAAGCAUCAUUAAAAGUAAAUACUUCUAUUAAUUUAUGACUACAAUUUUUCUUUAUUACAUGUAGUAAUUGCAUGCUUAAAUAUUAGCAUUAAAUAAAGGCCACACAGAAGAUUUUCACUUUUAUGAAAAGGAAAGGGUCUAAGCUAUAUAGAUUUUCACCUAUGAAGAAUUCUAACAAAGUACUUGAAAGAUAUAUAUGUAACUUGUUAUGUUUUUUAAUGUGGCCCAUUUUCUCCCCUAAAUAGGAUAGUAACUGUUAAUUAUAUUAAGUGUUUCUUUUAGAUUAUUUUUAUCUGUAUAGUAUUUAGAUUUCAAACUUACAUUUGUUGUAGUUAACCCUGACAUUACAAUUUAUAUUUAUAAACUUUUAGCCAACACUAAUAACCUAUAAGUAUUAACAAAACUUUGAUGUACAAUACUGCAGCUGUUACUUUGAUUUCAUGUAAAGAAAUCUUUAAUAGCUAAUGAAAUUGUCCUUCUAAUUGCAGAAGUGUGUAUAAACAGUAACACACGUAAUUCAGAACACACUGCAGUCCUGAGUCUUCACUGAAGGUUGGGGAGAGUGUUUGCUGGUAUUACACAGUGCAAGUGCUUGGACAUUGCAAAUUACAACUGUUCUGUGAUCAGAUCCUAGGCUGCAGUGAGAAAACAUGGUAGCUCACAGACAAAACACCUCAUGAUUGCACAUUUGAUUUUUGAAUGAAUUUUUGGUUCAUGUGUGUUGAGAAACCGAUUACUGUUGUCAAAUUUAACCCAACUGCUACACUGUAGUAUAUGACCUCCAUAAUGAAAUCACAAAUUACAGCUACAGGUCUAGAUAGCAUAUUCCCUCACUGCAGGAAAGAAGCAGUGGCUGUGGAGAGUGCUUUUAUUUUUUAAAGUAAAACAAUGCCAAAGUAUACAUCAUUAGUAGGCAAGGGCAUUAUGAAUUCACUCGGCCUGGGCUAUUGCCAGUUUUUAAAGAGAUGUGCGAAUAAUAGUGACCCGAUAUUUUGGUUGAUUCUAGUUGAAUAGAGAGAAUUGCUAGCAGUUCUGAAGACACAGAUACAAUAGCCUAAAUUGUUUUGCAUGACUAAAGACAUGUACAGAACUCACUGAGUUCCUCAGAAUCUUGAAAAGACUUUAUAAUCUGAAAAAUUACAUCAGGGUGUUUACUCAAUGGCAAGGCAAAAAAUAUCAUUUGUAACAAUGUUACAUUUUUUGACAAAAAGGUUGCAUUCACAUUCAAACUUGAAAAGAGUAUGUGUGGCCUGGAAAAUCACAUAACAUUUAUUCUUAGCCCGCAUUUAGUGGUCAUGAUAAUCAGGUUAAACUGUUCUUACAAAGAUUUACCUCAUGUUUAUAUUCAAGUUUCUCUGCAUACAUACAUAUACAUAGUGUGCCUGGUGCAUAUGCAGAACAGAAAGCUUCAGAUACCAUGAUACUUGAGUUACAUGCCAUCAUAUGCUGUGAUGUGGGUGCUUGGAAUCAAACCUGAGUCCUCUGAGAGAGGAGCAAUUGUGCCUAUGUUGAGCUAUCUCCCCACCCCCAAAGGUAAAUUUUCUUAAGUUUAAAUUUGCUUAGUGAUCAUGCAAGUUCUGAGAAAUCUGUUUUUUUAUUUUUCAGAAAACCAAGGAAGUUUGCUGAUUACUUCACUAGGGUAGAAGGAGAGGAAAAGAGGGAUGGAGGGAAGGAUAGAUAGUGACAGAGAGGGGAAAGGGGGAAAGAGCACCAGCAUCUCUUUUAGUGUCUCUCCAUUCGUGAAAAGUAUUUUUUUUUAAAAGAAAAAAAUUAAAUUGGCUUCCUCUUUUAGAAUACAAGGGAUCAUUUUCUAGCUACCUAGAUUUGUUUAUUUGUUCUUAGACAUAAUCCUGUUAAUUCAGGCAAUAGUGGUAACUCUGACCUUCUGGGUUCUCCUCUCCAUCUCUGCCUUGGCCACCAGUGUAAACUUUAUCUGCUCUGGUCCUGAGGUUUUUGAAAGAUAUGACCUUAGUUUGCCAGGGGCAGGAGCUUCUUGUUAACUAUAACCAUAUGCUUUUCUUUUUAAUUUCAUUCCACUCAAAAGUGAAAUGAAACAGUUCUGUUUCACAGUGGAUUUAAAAAUGAGGUUGUUAAGGUAAGGUUUCCUUCUUCUCUCUCCCUCACUCCUUCCCCUCCAUCCUUUACUUCAUAUAAAAUUUAAAAUGCUUACAUUUUGUUCAUUAUUAAUAUGUCUUUUUCUGUGAAGUGGGUGAAUGCAGCUCUACACAAAUAUACAAACACUGGAAACAGCCUGAGUUUCAAUCCAUAGAAACCAUAUAAACAAACUGAUACAGUCAAAUAAUGGAAUUACACUUAGAAAUGGGUAAAGAAUCAACUAUUGAUAAAACAACAUAAGUUAUUCCCCAACACCAGGAGGACUGACAGCAUACAGAUUGCAUGCUGACUGCCACUUCUGUGAAAUUAAACAAAGAAACAAAUAAAACAUGGUCAAAAGAUUUUCUUUAGGUUAAAAAUCAAUGACAGUUUCCUGGAAAUGAAAGAAAAUGUCUCUCUAUGCAGUUAUGUAUUUCAAUAGGAAUAGGAUUGCUGACAAUUUUUAUUCUUGAAUGACAGCACUUCUCAAAUGCCAUUCUCAUUGUCACAGAUCUUUAACUUACUGAUAGUAAAUCUUCCAUCAUAUUAAGCUUAGCUUACAUUGUAAUUAAUAUCAGAAUGCCAAAUCAUUUAGGGAGAGGUACACAGAUGUCUGCAUUAAUUAAAUUAAAAAAUAAGACAGGCAAAUAAUAAACAGACAGAAGGGAUGUUUACAAAGCAGAUAUAAUAAAACUCAUUUAAUUCAGUGUAGAUAUAAAUAGGUGUUCCUUAUAAAAUACUUUCAAUGAAUAUAUGAAUUUUUUAUAAGAUACUGAAGAGGUUGAUAUAUUUUUUAAUUAAGAGUACAUUGUCAUCUUCAGCGCGAACCCGGCAGAAGAUCCCAAGGUCCCCAGAGGACUCUCCAUGCCAUAGGUGCCCUAGCACACCCAGGAUCUUGGGAUCACUGGUAAGUGGAACACAAUAUCUGUUCCAAAGAAUGCCGAAGGUUCUGGUGCCAGCAGAACAGGGAAAGAGGAACAACGCCUGCCCAGUGGCUAGGAUUCUUUCCAUCAGGGCCAGCCCCACCCCAUCUUGGGUAUGACCUGGGCAAGCACACCCAGGAUCUUGGGAUCACUGAGACCAGUCUACACAGGAGAGCACCUAGGCAGCAGAAACAACAGAGCUUCUUAGAAAGGGUCUCUUUGGGCCUUCAUCCUUAGCCAGGAGGUGGAGAUGAGACCCAGACCUCUAGGCACCUUCCUUGCCAGAGGAGAGUCUGCCUCCAGGGAAGGCUCUGUCCCCUGGACUCAGGAAGUGGAUCUGAGCUCCAGACUUCUGGGCAUCUUCCCUGCAAGUGGACAGCUUACAUACAGAGACUGCUCUGACCACUGAGACUCAGGAGAGAGUUGGCCUCCAAGGAGUGCUGAGAGAGGCUAACAGAACAAGCUUCAGCCAGACACAGCUAGAAUAUCUAACACCAGAGAUUACCAGAUGACGAAAGGCAAACUUAAGAACCUUACUAACAGAAACCAAGACCACUGGGCAUCAUCAGAACCUAGUAUGCCCACAACAGCAAGUCCUAGAUAGUU